GACGAACGCUGGCGGCGUGCUUAACACAUGCAAGUCGAACGGAAAGGCCCUGCUUUUGUGGGGUGCUCGAGUGGCGAACGGGUGAGUAACACGUGAGUAACCUGCCCUUGACUUUGGGAUAACUUCAGGAAACUGGGGCUAAUACCGGAUAGGAGCUCCUGCUGCAUGGUGGGGGUUGGAAAGUUUCGGCGGUUGGGGAUGGACUCGCGGCUUAUCAGCUUGUUGGUGGGGUAGUGGCUUACCAAGGCUUUGACGGGUAGCCGGCCUGAGAGGGUGACCGGCCACAUUGGGACUGAGAUACGGCCCAGACUCCUACGGGAGGCAGCAGUGGGGAAUAUUGCACAAUGGGCGGAAGCCUGAUGCAGCAACGCCGCGUGCGGGAUGACGGCCUUCGGGUUGGAAACCGCUUUCGCCUGUGACGAAGCGUGAGUGACGGUACUGGGUAAAGAAGCACCGGCUAACUACGU
rnacentral:rRNA from 1 species